GAUGAACGCUGGCGGCGUGCUUAACACAUGCAAGUCGAACGGAAAGGCCCAAGCUUGCUUGGGUACUCGAGUGGCGAACGGGUGAGUAACACGUGGGUGAUCUGCCCUGCACUUCGGGAUAAGCCUGGGAAACUGGGUCUAAUACCGGAUAGGACCACUUCUUGGAUGUUGUGGUGGAAAGUUUUUUCGGUGUGGGAUGAGCUCGCGGCCUAUCAGCUUGUUGGUGGGGGAAUGGCCUACCAAGGCGUCGACGGGUAGCCGGCCUGGGAGGGUGUACGGCCACAUUGGGCCUGAGAUACGGCCCAGACUCCUACGGGGGGCAGCAGUGGGGAAUAUUGCACAAUGGGCGCCAGCCUGAUGCAGCGACGCCGCGUGGGGGAUGACGGCCUUCGGGUUGUAAACUCCUUUCGCUAGGGACGAAGCGUUUUGUGACGGUACCUGGAGAAGAAGCACCGGCUAACUACGUG
rnacentral:rRNA from 1 species